AUGGGGUGCAGCAGACGCGAAAACUUUACAAUGCGGGAAACCGCGAUAAGGGGACACUGAGUGCCAGCAUAUUAUGUUGGCUGUCCACAUGUAUAAAAACCAUGUGUUAGCAAGGGCCGGGCAAGACCGGUGCCAGCCGCCGCGGUAACACCGGCGGCCCGAGUGGUGAUCACUUUUAUUGGGUCUAAAGGGUCCGUAGCCGGUUUGAUCAGUCUUCUGGGAAAUCCGACAGCUCAACUGUUAGGCUUUCAGGGGAUACUGUCAGACUUGGGACCGGGAGAGGUAAGAGGUACUACAGGGGUAGGAGUGAAAUCUUGUAAUCCCUGUGGGACCACCAGUGGCGAAGGCGUCUUACCAGAACGGGUCCGACGGUGAGGGACGAAAGCUGGGGGCACGAACCGGAUUAGAUACCCGGGUAGUCCCAGCCGUAAACGAUGUUCGCUAGGUGUCAGGGACGGUGCGACCGUUUCUGGUGCCGUAGGGAAGCCGUGAAGCGAACCACCUGGGAAGUACGGCCGCAAGGCUGAAACUUAAAGGAAUUGGCGGGGGAGCAC
rnacentral:rRNA from 1 species